rnacentral:lncRNA from 1 species
CUUGUCACACCGACAUAAGCUCAAAAGUUUGUAUAUCGCAUAAGAUUUCCGCACCGUAGGCAUAGGCUCCAAAAGUUUGCAUACCUCCCAGUGACUCGCCGGCAUAGGCUCAAAAGUUUGCAUACCGCGCAAGAUUUCCGCACUGUAGGCAUAGGCUCCAAAAGUUUGCAUACCUCCCAGUGACUCGCCGGCAUAGGCUCAAAAGUUUGCAUACCGCGCAAGGUUUCCACACCGUAGGCAUAGGCUCCAAAGUUUGCAUACCUCCCAGUGUUUACUCAUACACGUACACACAUACAACAUAUAAAGAAAUCAUGUAAAUUAUUCGAUAUCAAUCAUGUAACUAUUAACUUGGUACCGUGUAUAAGGCUGAAGCAUAUAUCAUAAGAAAAAUGUAAGAAGGAAUAAAAUUCACUUUUACUUGUUAGUUAUACCGUGGGCGCAAGCGUGCACUCAAGCGCCCCCGGGCAAAGGUCUAUAACACGAAUAUAGAUAAAAUUCAGUGCAUCGUGAAUGACAGAAUCAGUGAAACAACGUGAUAUAUAAUCCAACAUGGAUUAUCGCAACAAUACCACCUCAAUCAGUGGCCCAACACAUCAGCACCACUAGCGUGCUCUCAACUUUCAAUAAGGCUGAGCAGACCACAGCGUCCACUCGACUCGGCAGCAACUCCACCACCAGAGUCGUCUUCUUUCAACGCCACAUUGACGUCUUCAUGGCAAGCGACGACAGCAAUCUGCCA